CAGUCGCCGCGGUAAUACGGAGGGUGCAAGCGUUAAUCGGAAUUACUGGGCGUAAAGCGCACGCAGGCGGUCUGUCAAGUCGGAUGUGAAAUCCCCGGGCUCAACCUGGGAACUGCAUUCGAAACUGGCAGGCUAGAGUCUUGUAGAGGGGGGUAGAAUUCCAGGUGUAGCGGUGAAAUGCGUAGAGAUCUGGAGGAAUACCGAUGGCGAAGGCAGCCAUCUGGCCUAAUACUGACGCUGAGGUACGAAAGCAUGGGGAGCAAACAGGAUUAGAUACCCCGGUAGUCCCUGUCUCUUAUAC
rnacentral:rRNA from 1 species